ACACAGAAGAAACAUACAAUACAUAGUAAUGAUGUUCAGUGGUUAUGGAGGAGUACAUCAUUACUCUAUACAGAAACUGCUAGGUCGCAAAGCACUAUGGGAUAUCCCAAAAUUUGGAAACUAAGCUUUGUUUCUCCCCUGUGAAUUAAACUGACUCCAGAUGUAUUGUGGAAUACCGAACAGAACAUUCCACUCAGCAGCUAAGGAAGCCUGUGACAGUUCCUGUUAAACCUUCAAAAGAACGCCAGUCCAGCCAGUUGUGUAUCUCAUCAGAUCUCAGAAACUAAGAAAGGCUGAGCCUGGUCAGGACUAGACGGGAGACCUCGAAGAAAAACAAGAAUGCUGCUAUACAGUAGGUUGGAUAGAUUGCCCAAUGUCAUACAUGAGGAUAAAGCCCAUAGCACCCCGGUAAUAGGCUGUUGUUAUGGUCCGGUACCGUUCCUGCCCUGCAGUGUCCUGAGGAAAUCAAAAGGUUAUGUCAUCUCUCCCCUGGGCAUCGAGAUGGACCCCUCCAAGACGGCCAUUAGGGACUGGCCAACCCCCCGGAACUUGAGGCAGGUUCAGCGCUUUCUUGUAUUCUCUAACUUCUAUCGUCUUUUCAUUCGUGAUUUCAGCUCCAUUGCCACUCCCAUCUCUGCCCUCACUCGUAAGGGUCCGACUCGGGGCAAGUGGACCGAUGAGGCUGAUCGUGCCUUUUUACGCCUGAAACACCUCUUCACGUCAGCUCCCCUCCUUCGUCACCCUGAUCCCUCGCUGCCCUUCGUUCUGGCGGUCGAUGCAUCGGCGCAUGGCGUUGGAGUAGUUAUGUCGCAGCGCUCUGGGGACAAUUAAUCUCUCCAUCCCUGUGCCUUCUUUUCCAGGCGUCUCUCCCCUGCGGAGGUAAACAAUGCUGUGGGAGAUAGAGAGCUCUUGGCCAUCAAGCUCGCCCUGGAAGAAUGGAGGCACUGGCUGGAGGGAGCCCAACAUCCGUUCACCAUUCUCACGGACCAUAAGAACCUUUCCUAUCUCCACUCUGCUCGGCGCCUCAAUUCUCGCCAGGCCAGAUGGUAUUUUUGCCUUUUUCAUCACAUACACCCCCGGCUCUAAGAAUAUUAAGGCGGAUGCCCUCUCCCGUUUGUUUGAUCCACCGUAGCUCGAACUCCCUCCCGAACCCAUCAUACCCCUCAUCAGAUAAUUGCCCUCAAGGAACAGCCUGUACCUCCCUCAUGCCCCUCGGAUAAGCUGUUUGUGACUGAUCGGGUCCAUUCCGAGGUUCUCCAGUGGGCUCGUGACUCUCGUUUUGCGGGUCAUCCUGGCGCCCGCCAGACUUUGGAACUUCUCUCUGAGGACUUCUGGUGGCCCUCCUUACGGGCUGAUGUUUCGGAUUACGUGAAAGCCUGUCCCACCUGCGCUCGGAUCAAGACACCCCGUCACCGGAAGGCUGGCUUACUCCAACCUCUUCCAGUACCCACGCGGCCUUGGUCCCAUAUUGCUGUGGAUUUCCUCACGUACCUUCCCAGGAGUCUUGGCAACACAGUGAUUCUGGUCGUCAUCGACAGGUUUUCCAAGGCUGCUCAUUUCGUUCCCUGCUCCUCCCUGUCCUCUGCUCAACAAAUGGCCAAUCUCUUUGUACAGCACGUUUUUCGUCUCCACGGGAUUCCAGAGGACAUCAUCUCUGAUUGGGGUCCACAGUUUAUCUCCCGCUUCUGGAAGGCUCUGGAAUGUUCUGCUUUGGGCUCCAACGUUUCUCUUACUUCUGGCUAUCAUCCAGAAUCCAAUGGUCAGACCGAAAGGCUUAACCAGUACCUCCUUACUUACCUGCGGGCUUACGUCUCAGCCACUCAGGACGACUGGUCCUCUUUACUCCCAUGGGCUGAGUACGCUCACAACACUCUAUACUCUUCGGCUACUGCCAUGUUUCCCUUUCUAUGCUCCCUGGGUUAUCAACCUUCACUCCUUCGGAAACCCCCUUCGGACUCGGACCUUCCCUCUGUUCAAAUAUAUAUCUCUGCCUUAAGGAAACUCUGUAAGACUGCUCGCCGCACCCUCCUAAAGGCCUCAUACCGUUAUAAAUCUUUCGUGGAUCGGCACAGACACCCUUUUCCUCUACUUCGCAGUAGGCAAUUUGUCUGGCUCUCCACCCGCAACAUCUCUCUCCAUCAACCCUCCCGCAAGUUGGGCCCGCGAUUUAUUGGUCCCUUCUGGGCCAUUUCUCAGAUCACUCCUGUCACUUACCGCUUGGCUCUCCCCCCACUCUUCGCAUUCACCCCACCUUUCAUGUCUCCCUUCUCAAACCUUACCACAGGUCACCCCUCUCCAGACCACAACCUCUUCCGCCUCCACCUCGUUCCAUCACCGGAUCCACCACCUAUACAGUCAGUAAGCUCCUCAAAUGUCGUUGGCAUAGGGGCUUGAGACAGUUUUUGGUCGACUGGCUCGGUUAUGUUCCUGAGGAAAGAACCUGGGUCUCUGCACGGGACAUCCUGGAUAAGACCCUUAUCUCGGACUUUCUUCACUCCCGUGCUCCUCCUCUACCUACGGCGUCGGGAGCCACACCUGAAGGGGGGGUUACUGUCAAAAAUCUCCCUCACGCAGGCAAGUGCUCCCGCAUUCCCACGAGCUCUCCCCGUACCAAACGUGCACGCAUGAAUCAGUCCUCUACUUAAACCCUCAUCUGUCCCCCGUUCAUUGCUCACGAUUGAGAUUCUCUCCCGGAGCUACCCUACAAACUACGCCUUUGCCUUACGACGACUUCUCCCCUGGACCUCGACCCUGCUUUUCCAACUACCGCUUUUGCCGCUUGAUUUAGUACCUUCGCCUGUUUUACGUUCUCUCGGAUCCUGACCCCAGCCUGUCUCUUCGUUUACGCCUCGUCCUUCUGAUUCCUAACCGACGCCUCUUCUACGCCUUCCCGGACUCCGACCCCAGCCUGCUCCCUCGACUAUGCCUUCGCCUGCCGAUUCUGUGCCUACGCCUCUACUACGCCUUCCGGACUCGAACCCCUGCCUGUUUACUCCGACUACGCCUAGGUCUAGCGCCAACCCUACCUGGGGCCCCCCAUUGAAUCUCCAUCCUCCACAGUCAGCCCCUGCGUGACACUUUCAACACCUCCGAACCCGUUCUCCUGGGAUUCAGGUCGUAAUUUGAUUCAUUCGGAUUGUAUGCGAGAGCAGACUCGCUCGAAGAUGUGCUAUUACUACUCAAUGCACAUGAAAAUGAAACACUGUUCCGUUUGCUUAGCAACUGAGGGGCUGUAGAGGGAAAAAAAGCAAAGCUUACCAUGAAAUCAUCUGGAAAUCUCGAAAAUAGCCAACAUCAUAAUCAAUACACCUUCUCAGGUAGAGUUUUUGGCGGACGGAUUUAAGGUAAAGGUGUAUUAUGAGUAGGAGUGUCUUCUGUAAUUUGUUUGACUUGGUCAUGCAUCCACCGUGAACACCAUCCUUCACCGAUUCUGCCACACCUCAGUGUGAUACAAAAUCAAAAGCAUUCAUUUACAGUAUGCCCAUCGACCUGACCGAUAGCCUUCUAGUGAGCACAAGCAGGCAUAUUAGUCGUUCAUGAAGAGAAUGAAAAUCUGAAUGUAUAAGAGAGACGCAUUUAAGACAUGUCAGAAACGUUUGUGGUUCUAAAUUAGCAAGCAGGUGCUUUAUAAGGGUGAGUCCUGCUGGCUUGCUGCUGGGGGGAGGGGUUAAUGAGGUUUGAUUCACACCGCUUGCAUUAGCUGAUUGACUUGACAUGACUUUAUCUAUGAGAAGAUCCAGGAGAAAACAGCACGAUGAUUCAAGUUCACCCAUAACCCAUUUUUUGCAAUGACAACUGAAAGAAUGUGGCUACCUUUGGACAUUCAGAUAUUCUUCUAAACAAACCUACAGCUAUGUGUAAAAU